GCCGCCGCUCUCUUCCCUCACAGG
rnacentral:siRNA from 1 species